GACAGAGGGUGCAAACGUUGUUCGGAAUUACUGGGCGUAAAGCGUGUGUAGGUGGCCACGUAAGUCGGAUGUGAAAGCCCUGGGCUCAACCCAGGAAGUGCACUCGAUACUGCGUGGCUUGAGUACCGGAGAGGUUGGUAGAAUUCUCGGUGUAGAGGUGAAAUUCGUAGAUAUCGAGAGGAAUACCUGUGGCGAAGGCGGCCAACUGGACGAGUACUGACACUGAGACACGAAAGCGUGGGGAGCAAACAGG
rnacentral:rRNA from 1 species